UAAAAAGCAGUGUACGUGCCCGUAGGAUUUUGAUUCCUAAAGAAAAAAUUAACUAUUUUUCUUUUUAA
rnacentral:tRNA from 1 species